UACGGGGGGAGCAAGCGUUGUUCGGAUUUACUGGGCGUAAAGGGCGCGUAGGCGGCCUGUGCAAGUCAGUUGUGAAAUCUCCGAGCUUAACUCGGAACGGUCAACUGAUACUGCUCGGCUAGAGUGCGGAAGGGGCAACUGGAAUUCUUGGUGUAGCGGUGAAAUGCGCAGAUAUCAGGAAGAACACCCGUGGCUAAGGCGGCUCUCUAGUACGGUACUGACGCUGAGACGCGAAAGCGUGGGGAGCGAACAGG
rnacentral:rRNA from 1 species